CGUGCAGGCGGGUUGAUAAGUCAGAUGUGAAAGCCCUGGGCUUAACCCAGGAAGUGCAUUUGAAACUGCCAUCCUUGAGUAUGGGAGAGGAGAGUGGAAUUCCCAAUGUAGAGGUGAAAUUCGUAGAUAUUGGGAGGAACACCCGUGGCGAAGGCGACUCUCUGGACCAAUACUGACGCUGAGACGCGAAAGCGUGGGGAGCAAACA
rnacentral:rRNA from 1 species